UUGCCCAAAUAGCCUUUUCCUUCUUUCUUGAGUUGCCUUAUUCAGGUAUUUUGUUACAGCAAUGAGGAAGACAAUGAAUAUAAGUUGUAAAGAUUCCAAUUCCACAGGAAAAGGCUUCAGUUUGGAGGAGCAUUCGUUGCCUUCCUGGGCCUUCUCAAUGUCCCUUUCCUGUGGCCUGUCACCUUAACAUUCUGCAGGCUCUGUAGGGACAGAAUCUUGUUUCUUUUGAAUGAUGCUUUUUUUUACUGGACUCUCCGAGCAUGUUUGAAGGACUGCUGUGUAUGGCCCUAUGUCCCUGACCCAGCUGACUUCGUUCGAUCUGAGGAUUAUUUUCACAUUAGGGAAAUGAUCUGGAAACAUCUGGAAACCAGAACAGGUGACCAUGGUUCCCCAUGGGUUACAGCUUUAUCCAAUUGCUUCUAGAAAGAAGGCCCUGGCACACCUGAGGCUCUGUGUGGUCAAAUCCAGAGAGAGGAAUGAGAGCACAGAGGCCAAGAGAAAUGAAUGGACCAAAGGAUUUUAAACAACAGUGGAUAUCCUUGCCCACUGGACAGUACCCUUCUGUAUUCCUGUGGUGAUGUAUGUAGAACUCAAUAACCUGGCAGACCAUAAUCACACAAUAAACAUUGACUAGUUAGUUGAAGUCUGCAAGAAGAUUACUGAAUGAAGGGACUUUGGAAAGGAACCACACCCCAGCCCUCCCGUGAGCACUGGCCAUCGAACUUUGUCGUAUUCCAUUUCACAUAC